rnacentral:rRNA from 1 species
CCUACGGGUGGCAGCAGUGAGGAAUAUUGGUCAAUGGGCGCGAGCCUGAACCAGCCAAGUAGCGUGAAGGAUGACUGCCCUACGGGUUGUAAACUUCUUUUAUCAAGGAAUAAAGUGAGGCACGUGUGCCUUUUUGUAUGUACUUUAUGAAUAAGCAUCGGCUAACUCCGUGCCAGCAGCCGCGGUAAUACGGAGGAUCCGAGCGUUAUCCGGAUUUAUUGGGUUUAAAGGGAGCGUAGAUGGGUUGGUAAGUCAGUGGGGAAAGUUUGCGGCUCAACCGUAAGAUUGCAGUUGAUACUGGCAGUCUUGAGUACAGGUGAGGUAGGCGGAAUUCGUGGUGUAGCGGUGAAAUGCUUAGAUAUCACGAAGAACUCCGAUUGCGAAGGCAGCUUACU